CGUGGAUAUUUUAACUUGUCAUGUCUCUAAAGUAAAUGGUAUGGUUUUAAACAAUCAGAGAAUGGUGUAUUGAUGGUUGUAGCUAUAGCAUAUAAAUCACCGCAGUAUUAGAUGUUAAAUGUGUAGGCCUAUAUACAAGAAAGCUAUGGGAUAAAUGUAGGGAAUUUGAUGAAUGGCUAGGUUAACAGAUGAUUUGAAACCAGUGUGAUAAUUAACAGAACAUAUUAACACACUAAACAAACAUAUAGAGGCAACAUUUACACUCAGUCUUUGAGAGAUAAAAUAGGUAGCGUAUCGCUACCGUGACGGCAGCCAUGCGUCACAUCACAGGAAACAAU